AGUGAACGCUGGCGGUAGGCCUAACACAUGCAAGUCAAACGGCAGCACAGAGGAGCUUGCUCCUUGGGUGGCGAGUGGCGGACGGGUGAGGAAUACAUCGGAAUCUACUCUGUCGUGGGGGAUAACGUAGGGAAACUUACGCUAAUACCGCAUACGACCUACGGGUGAAAGCAGGGGACCUUCGGGCCUUGCGCGAUUGAAUGAGCCGAUGUCGGAUUAGCUAGUUGGCGGGGUAAAGGCCCACCAAGGCGACGAUCCGUAGCUGGUCUGAGAGGAUGAUCAGGCACACUGGAACUGAGACACGGUCCAGACUCCUACGGGAGGCAGCAGUGGGGAAUAUUGGACAAUGGGCGCAAGCCUGAUCCAGCCAUACCGCGUGGGUGAAGAAGGCCUUCGGGUUGUAAAGCCCUUUUGUUGGGAAAGAAAUCCAGCUGGCUAAUACCCGGUUGGGAUGACGGUACCCAAAGAAUAAGCACCGGCUAACUUCGUGCCAGCCGCCGCAGUAA
rnacentral:rRNA from 1 species